rnacentral:rRNA from 1 species
UACGUAGGGGGCUAGCGUUGUUCGGAUUUACUGGGCGUAAAGCGCACGUAGGCGGAUGGUUAAGUCAGGGGUGAAAUCCCGCAGCUCAACUGCGGAACUGCCUCUGAUACUGGCCAUCUCGAGUCCGGAAGAGGUGAGUGGAACUCCUAGUGUAGAGGUGGAAUUCGUAGAUAUUAGGAAGAACACCAGUGGCGAAGGCGGCUCACUGGUCCGGAACUGACGCUGAGGCGCGAAAGCGUGGGGAGCAAACAGG